GAUGAACGCUGGCGGCGUGCCUAAUACAUGCAAGUCGAGCGAACAGACGAGGAGCUUGCUCCUCUGACGUUAGCGGCGGACGGGUGAGUAACACGUGGAUAACCUACCUAUAAGACUGGGAUAACUUCGGGAAACCGGAGCUAAUACCGGAUAAUAUAUUGAACCGCAUGGUUCAAUAGUGAAAGACGGUUUUGCUGUCACUUAUAGAUGGAUCCGCGCCGCAUUAGCUAGUUGGUAAGGUAACGGCUUACCAAGGCAACGAUGCGUAGCCGACCUGAGAGGGUGGUCGGCCACAUGGGAACGGAGACACGGACCAGACUCCUACGGGAGGCAGCAGUAGGGAAUGUUACGCAGUGGGCGAAAGCAUGACGGAGCAGCGCCGCGUGAGUGAUGAAGGUCUUCGGAUCGUAAAACUCUGUUAUUAGGGAAGAACAAAUGUGUAAGUAACUAUGCACGUCUUGACGGUACCUAAUCAGAAAGCCACGGCUAACUACGUG
rnacentral:rRNA from 1 species